rnacentral:rRNA from 1 species
GACGAACGCUGGCGGCGUGCUUAACACAUGCAAGUCGAACGGAAAGGCCCUGCUUGCAGGGUACUCGAGUGGCGAACGGGUGAGUAACACGUGGGUGAUCUGCCCUGCACUUCGGGAUAAGCCUGGGAAACUGGGUCUAAUACCGGAUAGGAGCCAUUUUGAGUGUGAUGGUUGGAAAGUUUUUUCGGUGUAGGCUGAGCUCGCGGCCUAUCAGCUUGUUGGUGGGGUAAUGGCCUACCAAGGCGGCGACGGGUAGCCGGCCUGAGAGGGUGGACGGCCACAUUGGGACUGAGAUACGGCCCAGACUCCUACGGGAGGCAGCAGUGGGGAAUAUUGCACAAUGGGCGCAAGCCUGAUGCAGCGACGCCGCGUGGGGGAUGACGGCCUUCGGGUUGUAAACUCCUUUCGCUAGGGACGAAGCUUUUUGUGACGGUACCUAGAUAAGAAGCACCGGCUAACUACGUG